rnacentral:rRNA from 1 species
UUUCGGGUUUUAUUUGCGCAGCAUAGGUGGGAGGCUUUGAUGUUAGUCUUACGGGAUUAAUGGAGCCAUCAGUGAGAUACCACUCUAAUAAAACUAGAACUCUAACCCUAUACCGUUAGCCGGUUAGGGGACAGUUUCAGGCGGGCAGUUUGACUGGGGCGGUCGCCUCCUAAAAGGUAACGGAGGCGUACAAAGGUUUCCUCAGAUCGGUCAGAAAUCGAUCGUAGAGUGCAAAGGCAAAAGGAAGCUUGACUGUGUGACCUACAAGUCGAACAGAGACGAAAGUCGGUCUUAGUGAUCUGGCGAUAUUGAGUGGAAAAGUCGUCACUCAACGGAUAAAAGUUACUCUAGGGAUAACA